CCUACGGGAGGCAGCAGUCGGGAAUAUUGCGCAAUGGAGGAAACUCUGACGCAGUGACGCCGCGUGCAGGAAGAAGGUCUUCGGAUUGUAAACUGCUUUAGACAGGGAAGAAAAAAGCCAGUACUUGUAGAAUAAGCUCCGGCUAACUACGUGCCAGCAGCCGCGGUAAUACGUAGGGAGCAAGCGUUUUCCGGAUUUAUUGGGUGUAAAGGGUGCGUAGACGGAGAAGCAAGUUAGUUGUGAAAUCCCUCGGCUUAACUGAGGAACUGCAACUAAAACUACUUCCCUUGAGUGCUGGAGAGGAAAGUGGAAUGCGUAGUGUAGCGGUGAAAUGCGUAGAUAGUAGGAGGAACACCAGUGGCGAAGGCGGCUUUCUGGACAGUAACUGACGUUGAGGCACGAAAGUGUGGGGAGCAAACAGGAUUAGAUACCCCUGUAGUC
rnacentral:rRNA from 1 species